UUGAUAUACUCAGCAUAGGCACCGGGAUGUCUGGCUCCAAUUACUGUUAGCUUCUCACAGCGAGCAAAUUCGCUCUUUUUACAGUAUUCACACUCUCCGCAAUAGAGUGCAGGACA
rfam:Listeria fleischmannii subsp. coloradonensis strain TTT M1-001 Contig057, whole genome shotgun sequence.